GCUCAUUUAAGGCAGGUGGGAGGGCGGGGGACGUGGAGGGGCGGCCACACUGUGAACGGACUGAAGCCCACUUAACUGUUCACUCUAAAGUGGUUCAGUUCGUUACGUGUGUUUUCACUUCAAUCAAUUGCUUUUAAUGGAAAUUAAUCAUAUUGAUGGUCUCCAGAAGAAGUUGGGUUGAUACCUGCAACCAGAUUUUAAAAAUGCAAAUUUGGAGCCAAUGAGUGAAUGAAAUAAUUUGUACCUCACUGAUUCUUUUAAGGCAUAGCUUACAACGUUCCAGAAACUGUUCUAUUUGUUUUCACUUUUGUUUCAAAAUCUUAAUGGCAUUUUGUUUGCUGAUUGUGAAUAAAUAUUUGUAUGCUGCGAAAAGCAAAUCCAAAACCAACAGCUCAAAGGAGAAAGUGUGGCAAACAGGAGAUUGGAGAUUGGACCCCAAAACUCCUGGAGUGACGAAAAUUGACCUGGAUGAAGAAAUGGCUUUCUCUUGGCCUUCUUUUGUUUAAACAUAUCUUCCAGUCCUGGGGAUGGAUUUCCCUCCCAUCCAUAGCCAGAGAACUUUCUGUAUCCAUCAAAGUGCUUUCUAUGUUUGCCCGCUCUCCACAGCUCCCUCUUUGUCAUUCGCGAAUAGUAUAUAAUCAAAUAUUGUUUUCAUUUUCAAUAAUAUAAAAGAUAGAACUAAAUUCAGCUUUGAAAGACACCCAUGUACCAGUGGGUACUGGUACACUUGCCAGUGACUUUCUUCGCUCCCUAGUUUCUGCGUGGUGUCUGGGGUUUCCGUCACAGUAUAUGUACUAUACAAAGAAAAUAAAUAUUUGAAGGUCAC
rnacentral:lncRNA from 10 species